GGGAUUAAUAAAAAAUAGCAAUAAUCACAUUAUGACUUUUAGCAAGAAUGCUGCUUAGACACAUUUAUAAAACACAUUUGUAUGCCAGGCACAGCACACAGAAAUAAGGAGUAUCGAAAGAAAGGACACACUGAUAACGCUUUGCACAUCGCCACAUAUUUUGAGGGCAAGCAGAUAAAAAACUGAAGCACUCUUUGUGCUCCAAUUCAAGGCCACGGGCCCAGGUGGAGAUUGAUACUGACGAACACUAGACAAGAUACAAUAGUGUGCUGUUAGCUUUUUUCCUUCCACAGGGCGCUGACCGGAAGCUGAAGCACCAAGAGGCUAGGACUGGCCUGCGUGCCUACGUAAUGGGCGGGCCGAGUCUAAACCAUGGUGCUGCCCCAACAGUUUUUGACCAAUCAGAUAAUUGCACAUUCAUAUUAUAAAACUCUGUGUAAAAGUAAGUUAGGGAUCCUUUUUCUGGGAGGUGGUUACAGCUAACUGCUUUGCAGCCUGUGAUUUCUGAACAGAGAAGGUCGAUGUACAUCAUUUACGCUUUCAUUAUUGUCUUAAAUAAAUAGUCAAAAGGAUUUUACUCUCCUCUCAUCCGUUCUGCAAAAAAAAAAAAACGAACUCUAACAAUUGGUGCCGAAACCCGGGAUUACAGUGCAGUAAAGGACCUGAGAGGAGAAUUGGGAAAUCCGGACUGGAGUUUUCUGUCUGGGACCGGACAUCGUUCUCCGGCGACCCUCCAUUCACUCACUGAGGAUCCUCAGAUAAAAGGCUUUGUGAGGACAUCAGACUCUGCACACAUACACACACACAAGCAGGGAGAGAAGACAGAUAGCAGAUAGCAGGAAGACACACACACACACACACAGCCCUUCACAAGACACUCUGACCUUACGUCAUACAUAAACACACACACAAGAAACUAGCAGGCGAGGUGGAAAUGGCAGAGACAGAGACAGAGAAAGGCAGCCUAGAUCCUUCUGAACUCACGUUAAAGGAGUUUAACACAUUACAGGAGUUUAAAGCAGGGGCAGUGGAGGAAGCUGACAGACGAAGCAACUCAGAUUUAGAUAAAUCAUGGACAGAAAAAAGGCAGGUGAGCUACAGACCGCCACACCUGGUCCCCUGGUACAUGACAGCUACCCUACGCCCCCCUUGCCCCAAACUGAUCCAGGGCAAGCACCAGUCCAACCUCUGGAACCACUGCAGCCUCCUGCUAGAGGGGUAAGGCCAAGACCGGGCUGGUCGAACGCAUGCUUUCUUUGUGGGCAGCCAGGCCAUUGGAGCAGAACUUGUCCCCUGACACAUCGCCCUAGGAGAGGUAGAAGUAGGGGGCUUACCCCACCAGACUUACACCCCAAAUAAAAGGAGAGCAGAAAACCCCUUCACUAUCUGACAUUUCUGCACAUUGGGCACAACAAAAAAUAAAAUUGUUUGAUUAAGGAUAUUCUCUGACCGCCAAAAUGUAUGAUAGUAAUUGCAUAAAACUGUUAAAAUUAACGGGAGUGUGAUCACAUGUAAAGUUUGAAAACACAUAGACUCACAUAAGGGGAGGGUGAACAAAUGUCCUAGAAUGAUACAAUUGGAAAUAUAAAGACAUAAAAUUCAUCUUAUAAAUGAAUUGCCUCUGCACAGGUUGUCUACCAAAACUAUAGAACAUACUAUAUGUGUUAUAGAUGCCUUGUGUGGAGAUACCAUGCGAUUAACUAUUUUCCUUCAUAAACAGCAGAAGAGAGAAUCUCCUGUGGAGCGGGAGAGAUUAAGCUCUUGUGAGGACACAACGACAAGUUUGUUAUUUUUCAUGUGAAUGUGGGGAGGGUUUCACUACUUGAAAGAUAUUUUUACUGUGUGAAUGAAGUGUAUCGAGAAGUUUUAGACUGAUCGAGAAUUCCUACAUUGAUCACAGAUCUCAAGUAGCUUUGUAUUUUUGGGCACUGGAAUAGAAAGAAGGGAAUUUUAGUGUAUGGUGUUAUGGAGGAUUGGUGAAUUAAAACAAGUGAGUAAGACUGAGAGAACUCCCAGCAGUCAAGCGCACAGGGACAUCAAGCUCCUGUGUAGAAGAUUCUUGACUGGGUCCCCUCACUUGGGCACUGCGCCAUUCACAAACCUCUGAUAGCACGUGUACAAACAUUUUAAAAUGUCUAAUGUCUAAAAAAACGUUGAUAAAUGGCAGGAAUGGUAAGUGAAGAGACAAUUGUCAGCACUUUUUAUGAGCAGAUACAAGACUAACUUUUUCAAGAGAUACAGAGGAAGCCACAAGAUAACACUCCUCUGUCUUACACAGAGCAGGCAUAGCAGCCUGUUCACUUCAUGCCCCCCCACACUACUCAGAAGCCUCUCUAAGAUGUAGAUGUAAGAAACAGCUUUGAACUGGACAUCCAAUUAUAUAGCUAAGUAACUAUAGAAGAAAGUCCCACUUCAUUAAAUCAGGUAUAGGAUAAUGUGUGAAUACACAGAUUUUAAGCCUUCUGAUUUUCAAAGAUUACAAACU